rnacentral:miRNA from 1 species
AUCUUGUUAAAAUGUAAAUUUUGAUUCAGUAAAUCUGAGAUGAGGCCCAAGAUUCUGCAUUUUUAACAAGUUC